GUCACAAAUAGGGCUUAAGUGAUGCGAUCCCUGGAUCAUGGUGGCAGAGCUAGAUUAGGUUCAGCAAAGAUGCAUCCUGGAACUAGUAUUAUUUGUCCUUUAUACUGUGACACAAACUGUCCAGGAAUGUUAUUUUUAACACUUAUUCAGGGCUAAGGGAGUAUCAGGCACUAUUGUAAGUAUUAUAUAUAUAUUCCAGCCCAGACUUCACAAAAAAUCUUGUGUGUGCAAUUAUUAAGAAUCUGCAACACUGGAUGUGAGGGCGAUCUGGCUGCAACAUCUGUCAGCCCAUUGAUUGCCAGGGUUGAUUCGGCUGAUCUAGCUGGCUAGGCGGCUGUCUCCUUCCCCCCUCACCGCUCCAUGUGCGUCCCUCCCGAAAGCUGCGCGCUCUGUGGAAGAGGACGACCAUCCCUGAUAGAGGAGGGCCGGUCUUCCGGUCUUCUGGUCUUCCGGUCUUCCGGUCUUCCGGUCUUCCGUCAAGGGUAUAUGAGUAGCUGCGCUCUCUACUAGAACCUCCAAGCAAGCGCUCAGGAAUUGGCAACACGGAGAAGCUUCUUGAGCUCAGUGUGAUUAUGGCAGAAACUCUGAAGCUAAAGAAACUUCCCAUGUUGCUGUGGUCACAGCUCA
rnacentral:lncRNA from 10 species